rnacentral:tRNA from 2 species
CGGAGCGUAGCGCAGCCUGGUAGCGCACCUGCUUCGGGAGCAGGGGGUCGCAGGUUCAAAUCCUGCCGCUCCGACCA